UAGCGUAUCCCCAAAUGACUCUCACGUCCUUAGCUUCGUACACUUUCAAUCGGUGAGGGAACCCAAGAAAAGUAAAUCUAGUAUUCUUAAAAGUAUCGGCACAUCAGUUCACCAAGUCUCUCGUAGAAGUUGCUGUGAUUUUCAAGGACUGUUUUGUGAUCCUGGUGAUAGUUUCAAACGACUCCUGCAACACCAACGGGAGAACCACCCAUCAAAACCCGGUUAAUCUUCUCUGUGGCCUUGGAAAACACUCGUAAUAGGAGCCAGACACGUUUGAAAAUAUGGGCCUUUAAUUAACCCGUCUGCUGCGAUUGGAACGGAUUCGGAUUUCACUGGUAGCCUGGUAAUAUAUAGUCCCAGGUCUUUCUCUGUCUCUGUGGUGGAUAGUGGAGUGUUUCCCAUGUGGUAUUGGUAUGCUGGAUAUCCCUUCACUGGUAGCCUGGUAAAAUACAGUUCCAGGUCUUUCUCUGUCUCUGUGGUGGAUAGUGGAGUGUUUCCCAUGUGGUAUUGGUAUGCUGGAUAUCCCUUCACUGGUAGCCUGGUAAUAUAUAGUCCCAGGUCUUUCUCUGUCUCUGUGGUGGAUAGUGGAGUGUUUCCCAUGUGGUAUUGGUAUGCUGGAUAUCCCUUCACUGGUAGCCUGGUAAUAUAUAGUCCCAGGUCUUUCUCUGUCUCUGUGGUGGAUAGUGGAGUGUUUCCCAUGUGGUAUUGGUAUGCUGGAUAUCCCUUCACUGGUAGCCUGGUAAUAUAUAGUCCCAGGUCUUUCUCUGUCUCUGUGGUGGAUAGUGGAGUGUUUCCCAUGUGGUAUUGGUAUGCUGGAUAUCCCUUCACUGGUAGCCUGGUAAUAUAUAGUCCCAGGUCUUUCUCUGUCUCUGUGGUGGAUAGUGGAGUGUUUCCCAUGUGGUACUGGUAUGCUGGAUAUCCCUU